UCCUCUGGCCAAGUGAGAAACAUGAAGAUUAGAAGUGCAGCACAUGCCUUCUAAAGAAGCCAGGCAUGGAACAGUUCUGGGAACACAGCACUGAUAAAACUCUUACGGAUGAAUUUACCUAUACCUGUGUUUCAGCCUUGUGAUCUGGCCCUGCCAAAAACAUCGUUUGAAUCUCAGCUCUGCCACUUGCUAACCUGAC